rnacentral:misc_RNA from 1 species
GAUGAAGAACGCAGCGAAAUGCGAUACUUGGUGUGAAUUGCAGAAUCCCGUGAACCAUCGAGUCUUUGAACGCAAGUUGCGCCUCAAGCCAUUAGGUUGAGGCCACGUCUGCCUGGGCGUCACAUAUCGUUGCCUGAUGCCAGUUUCCUCGUGAUGGGUGACUGUGCAGGGCGAAUGAUGGCUUCCCGUGAGCAUUGUUGCCUCAUGGUUGGUUGAAAAUUGAGUCCUUGGUAGGGAGCGCCGUGAUAGAUGGUGGUUGAGUGACGAACGAGACCCAAUCAUGUGAGACCCCUACCGAAUUUGGCCUUCAUGACCCACAUGCGUCUUUGGAACGCUCAUGACGAGACCUCAGGUCAGGCGGGGCUACCCGCUGAGUUUAAGCAUAUCAAUAAGCGGAGGA